rnacentral:rRNA from 1 species
CUUGACGACCAUAGAGCAUUGGAACCACCUGAUCCCAUCCCGAACUCAGCAGUGAAACGAUGCAUCGCCCGAUGGUAGUGUGGGGUUUCCCCCAUGUGAGAGUAGGUCAUCGUCAAGA